rnacentral:rRNA from 1 species
AUUGAACGCUGGCGGCAGGCCUAACACAUGCAAGUCGAGCGGCAGCGGGAAAGUAGCUUGCUACUUUUGCCGGCGAGCGGCGGACGGGUGAGUAAUGCCUGGGAAAUUGCCCAGUCGAGGGGGAUAACAGUUGGAAACGACUGCUAAUACCGCAUACGCCCUACGGGGGAAAGCAGGGGACCUUCGGGCCUUGCGCGAUUGGAUAUGCCCAGGUGGGAUUAGCUAGUUGGUGAGGUAAUGGCUCACCAAGGCUACGAUCAGUAGCUGGUCUGAGAGGAUGACCAGCCACAUUGGGACUGAGACACGGCCCAAACUCCUACGGGAGGCAGCAGUGGGGAAUCUUGGGCAAUGGGCGAAAGCCUGACCCAGCGACGCCGCGUGGGUGAUGAAGGCCUUCGGGUCGUAAAGCCCUGUCGGGAGGAAAGAACGAUCUGGUGGUGAAUAUCCACCGGAUGUGACGGUACCUCCGAAGGAAGCACCGGCCAAUUCCGUGCCAGCCGCCGCGGUAACAC